rnacentral:lncRNA from 1 species
AUGCAUAGCCUACGCGGCCAGUAUCGGCGGGACGGCCACGCUGACCGGAACGGGACCCAACGUCGUCCUCUCUGGGCAGAUGCACUCGCUGUUCCCCAGGAACAGGGAUGUGGUGAACUUUGCCAGCUGGUUUGGAUUCGCUUUCCCCAACAUGUUACUGAUGCUGCUGCUGGCCUGGUUUUGGUUGCAGUGCUUCUUCUUGGGGCUCAAGUAAGUUCCUCUGGAGUCCGGAUACCGGUAGGGGUCGGUCGGGCCGGUUUUAGGGGGCAAGCGAGGAAGGUGUUUCCUUUCCCCGCCAUCCCUGGGUGGGUCCCCACUGAGGGGAUUGGAAAGUUCCCAGACUCCCUCCACCCUGGCUUAGGGGGAGCUGAGAGCCUGUGGAACUGGAACAAUUAAUCAUCAACCCCUCUAGACUUUAAGCUUAUCUUGGGCAGGGAAUGUGUCUGUUAUUGUUAUAUUCUCCCAAGUGUUUACUACAGUGCUCUGCACAUAGAAGCUCAGCAAAUACAACUAAAUGAAUGAAUGAACCAUUGGUAUUUAUUGAGCGCUUUCUAGGUGCAGAGCACUGUACUAAGCACUUUGGAGAGUGAUACAACAGAAUUAGCAGUCACAUUUCCUGCCCAUAACAAGUAAGGUAGGUGGACAGGGAUUCCAGCCCCGAGAAACCCUCCAGGUCUGGGGAUUCGGGCAGAUGCACGUGUGAUGACAUCCUGUUAUGGGGCGGACGAUUCAAAGGGCACUCUGUGGAGUGUGAUGAUGUCAUUUAGGAUCGGGCCCCCGGGGUGUGACUGAAUUUCAACCCUCUGAAAGACCUAGUUCUGAAACCGUGUUUAAGAGGCAGGCGAUCGAGAAUCGAUGCCCCGAUGGGGGAUACAAAAGCCGACGGUCCUUGAAUCUUCCCGUCUGGUAGUAACUUUGAGCAGAUUGUGAGCGGUCGAGAAAAUGCCCCCGCCCAGCCUAGGGUUGGUUUCUGUCUCCCCGUGGAUGACCCAGAGUGAGGGAUUCACAACCUCUUCUGCACCCGCAAAAUGCCAAAGGAAAUGCUAUGCCACCAUGUGAAUUUAAGCAGGAGCAGACCAGCGGUUGCAUGGGGUGCUAACGAUUAGAACGGUAUUUAAUGAGUACUUCCUGUGGACUGAAGUGCUGUGCUAAACGCUGAAGUUGCUCUAAGAUAAACAGGACACAGUCCCUGCCCCAUGUGUGUUUUGCAAGCCAAGAGGUAGGGAGAGCAGGUUUCUGAUCUCCUUUUUACCCAGAUGAGGAAACUAAGGCUCAGAGAGGUUAAGCAAUUGGCCUAAGGUCACCUAGCGGACCAGUGGCAGAAGAGGAAUUAGAACUUGAGUCUUCUGACUUCCAAUCCCAUGCUCUUUCCACCGAGCCACGAUCUGGAAAGAUGUUUUCCUUUGGUGUUUUAUCCUCAUCUUCUUAGCCUUCUGGCCAGGUGGCGAAACGCUCAUCUGACAGCAGACUUAAGUGAUUUAAGAACUCUGAUUGCUUAAGAAUAAUAAUUAUGGUAUUUGUUACGCGCUUCCUAUGCGAUAGGCACUGAACUAAGCGCUGGGGUGGAUAUAAGCAAAUCGGGUGGGACACGGUCCCUGUCCCAAGUGGGGCUCACAGUCUCAAUCCCGAUUUUACAGAUGAGUUAACUGAGGCACAGAGAAGUGACUUGACCAAAGUCACACAGCAGACAAGUGGUGGAGCUGGGGUUAGAAGCCAUGACCUUCUGACUCCCAGGCCCAUGUUCUAGCCACUAUGCCAUGCUGCUGAUGGAUUGAGACUGAUGCCACAGCUACCCGUCAGCAAGAAGACGGGGAGUGAGUCCGGCCUAGUGGAAAGAGCUAGGGCCUGAGCGUCAGGAGAUCUGGGUGCUAGUCCCACUGGCCUGCUGCGGGGACUCGGAUGAGUCAUUUAGCCUCUCUGAGCCUCAGUUUCCUCAUCUCUACUAUGGGUAUGAAGACCCCUGCUCUCCUUCCCUCUUAGAUCACAAAAGGAACAUAGGUACCAUGCCUUGUUGGUCUCGAAUCUGCCCCAGCUCUCGGCACACGGCAGGCCGCUUCAUAACCACCCCCCUUUUCAUGCCAAAUUUGCCCUCUUCUCCCUUCCUUUUCCCAAAGCUUUA